AUUGAACGCUGGCGGCAGGCUUAACACAUGCAAGUCGAACGAGUGGCGGACGGGUGAGUAAUGUCUGGGAAACUGCCUGAUGGAGGGGGAUAAAUACUGGAAACGGUAGCUAAUACCGCAUACCAUCGGAUGUGCCCAGAUGGGAUUAGCUAGUAGGUGGGGUAAAGGCGUACCUAGGCCACGAUCCCUAGCUGGUCUGAGAGGAUGACCAUCGACACUGGAAGUUAGACACGGUCCAGACGCCUACGGUAGGGAGCAGUGUGGAAUAUUGCACAAUGGGCGCAAGCCUGAUGCAGCCAUGCCGCGUGUAUGAAGAAGGCCUUCGGUUUGUAAAGUACUUUCAGCGGUGAGGCGUUACCCGCAGAAGAAGCACCGGCUAACUCCGUGCCAGCAGCCGCGGUAAUUC
rnacentral:rRNA from 1 species